rnacentral:rRNA from 1 species
UCGUGAGUGAAGAAGGCCUUCGGGUUGUAAAGCUCUUUUGUCCGGAACGAAACGGUGAGCGUGAAUAUCGCUCGCUACUGACGGUACCGGAAGAAUAAGCACCGGCUAACUACGUGCCAGCAGCCGCGGUAAUACGUAGGGUGCGAGCGUUAAUCGGAAUUACUGGGCGUAAAGCGUGCGCAGGCGGUUUUGUAAGCCAGAUGUGAAAUCCCCGGGCUCAACCUGGGAAUGGCAUUUGGGACUGCAAGGCUUGAGUGCGGCAGAGGAGACUGGAAUUCCUGGUGUAGCAGUGAAAUGCGUAGAUAUCAGGAGGAAUACCGAUGGCGAAGGCAGGUCUCUGGGCUGACACUGACGCUCAUGCACGAAAGCGUGGGGAGCAAACAGGAUUAGAUACCCUGGUAGUCCACGCCCUAAACGAUGUCGACUGGUUGUUGGGGGUUUGACACUCUCAGUAACGAAGCUAACGCGUGAAGUCGACCGCCUGGGGAGUACGGCCGCAAGGUUA